GGGACGCCGAAUCUCUGUUGUUGUUCAAGGGCAGAACGCAUGCACUGCCCUUGUGUAAGAACAGGACGCUGUUGUUUUGGCCUCCUGAUCAGACCUCUUGAUCAUCUCCAGUGUCCCCCGUCUUAUUGCAAAGUAGAGAGCAUAAACAUUAUCAACUUCAUUUUACCAGCGAGGAAGAAAUCUUGUCUAUGGUCACAUAGCCCAGUAAGUGGAGGAUCUGGGAUUUGAAACUCUGGUCUUUUGACUAGACUGUCUUCACGCCUAGCCCAGAAAUACACCCACUUCCUUGAGUUGCUUUUGAAGUAGUGCCUUUGUCUACAAAGGAUGUUGGCUCCAGGAAAACUAGGAACUGCCAGCUUGAUGCUUCCCAAGAUUAGAACCAAGUGUUCAUUAUUUUUGAGCGUCAGCUGUGGACAGCUCCUGGUUGCCAUUAGCAUUUUCUGAAUGGGAAACAGCUGUGUGGUGGGCGCCUCCCUUAAGCAAGACCUACUUUGCCCUCAUUUUGUACGAUGAAGUUAUAGGAUCGACCAGUCUCCAAAGUCCUUACCAGCUCUAACAUUCAGUGAGUCUGUGUAAGUACAGAGCUUAUCAGAUUAAUAAUAAACCUUUUGAGGCUGAAAGGGGCCUAACUCUUUGUGAAUGAGGUUUUGGAAGGAAGGAGCAGGGGUGGCAAUAAGAGGCAGAAUGAGCAAUCUCAAGUCCUGAGGGAGAGGAGUUUGCUAUGUGGAGGCCAGGACCAGAGAGAGGAGAGGAAAGGAAGACUUCAGUGCCAGCUCUGUGCCUUAGACAGAGAGUGAUAGUGGUAGACCAGUAGACCUCUAGCCUGGGGAUCCAGGGCAAGUGUUUCAUUUGUUUGUAAUAUCCAUUUGCUCAUUAAUGAAAUGAAUCAAUGCACAAAAGUACAGCUUAAUUUACUUAAUUUGGCUAAAAGUGCUAGAUACAUUACUGACCCUUGGCCUAGACCAAGGGUGGGGAACCUUGGGCCUUGAGGUCACACGUGGCCUUCUAGGUCCUUGGGU